UCCCUGGUGGUCUAGUCGUUAGGAUUCGGCACUCUCAUUGCCACGGCCCGGGUUCGAUUCCCAGUCAAGGAA
rfam:Mesocricetus auratus contig212007, whole genome shotgun sequence.